ACAACAUUCGGACCGUCGGUGUACCGAGCUAUAAUAUCAUCCGCUCGGUGGAAGAUCUUCCCUUUGACGU
rnacentral:pre_miRNA from 1 species